rnacentral:rRNA from 1 species
UCAUGGCUCAGAUUGAACGCUGGCGGCAGGCCUAACACAUGCAAGUCGAGCGGAUGACGGGAGCUUGCUCCUUGAUUCAGCGGCGGACGGGUGAGUAAUACCUAGGAAUCUGCCUGAUAGUGGGGGACAACGUUUCGAAAGGAACGCUAAUACCGCAUACGUCCUACGGGAGAAAGCAGGGGACCUUCGGGCCUUGCGCUAUCAGAUGAGCCUAGGUCGGAUUAGCUAGUUGGUGAGGUAAUGGCUCACCAAGGCGACGAUCCGUAACUGGUCUGAGAGGAUGAUCAGUCACACUGGAACUGAGACACGGUCCAGACUCCUACGGGAGGCAGCAGUGGGGAAUAUUGGACAAUGGGCGAAAGCCUGAUCCAGCCAUGCCGCGUGUGUGAAGAAGGUCUUCGGAUUGUAAAGCACUUUAAGUUGGGAGGAAGGGCAGUAAGCUAAUACCUUGCUGUUUUGACGUUACCGACAGAAUAAGCACCGGCUAACUCUGUGCCAGCAGCCGCGGUAAUACAGAGGGUGCAAGCGUUAAUCGGAAUUACUGGGCGUAAAGCGCGCGUAGGUGGUUCGUUAAGUUGGAUGUGAAAUCCCCGGGCUCAACCUGGGAACUGCAUCCAAAACUGGCGAGCUAGAGUAGGGCAGAGGGUGGUGGAAUUUCCUGUGUAGCGGUGAAAUGCGUAGAUAUAGGAAGGAACACCAGUGGCGAAGGCGACCACCUGGGCUCAUACUGACACUGAGGUGCGAAAGCGUGGGGAGCAAACAGGAUUAGAUACCCUGGUAGUCCACGCCGUAAACGAUGUCAACUAGCCGUUGGAAUCCUUGAGAUUUUAGUGGCGCAGCUAACGCAUUAAGUUGACCGCCUGGGGAGUACGGCCGCAAGGUUAAAACUCAAAUGAAUUGACGGGGGCCCGCACAAGCGGUGGAGCAUGUGGUGUUAAUUCGAAGCAACGCGAAGAACCUUACCAGGCCUUGACAUCCAAUGAACUUUCCAGAGAUGGAUUGGUGCCUUCGGGAACAUUGAGACAGGUGCUGCAUGGCUGUCGUCAGCUCGUCGUCGUGAGAUGUUGGGUUAAGUCCCGUAACGAGCGCAACCCUUGUCCUUAGUUACCAGCACGUUAUGGUGGGCACUCUAAGGAGACUGCCGGUGACAAACCGGAGGAAGGUGGGGAUGACGUCAAGUCAUCAUGGCCCUUACGGCCUGGGCUACACACGUGCUACAAUGGUCGGUACAGAGGGUUGCCAAGCCGCGAGGUGGAGCUAAUCUCACAAAACCGAUCGUAGUCCGGAUCGCAGUCUGCAACUCGACUGCGUGAAGUCGGAAUCGCUAGUAAUCGCGAAUCAGAAUGUCGCGGUGAAUACGUUCCCGGGCCUUGUACACACCGCCCGUCACACCAUGGGAGUGGGUUGCACCAGAAGUAGCUAGUCUAACCCUUCGGGAGGACGGUUACCACGGUGUGAUUCAUGACUGGGGUGAAGUCGUAACAAGGUAACCGUA